rnacentral:rRNA from 1 species
CACGUAGUUAGCCGGUCCUUAUUCCCCACCUACCGUCAACCCCACGAGAACGUGGAGCCUGCGUUGGUGGUAAAAAGAGGUUUACAACCCGAAGGCCGUCAUCCCCCACGCGGCGUCGCUGCAUCAGGCUUUUCGCCCAUUGUGCAAUAUUCCCCACUGCUGCCUCCCGCAGGAGUCUGGGCCGUGUCUCAGUCCCAGUGUGGCCGGUCGCCCUCUCAGGCCGGCUACCCGUAAUCGCCUUGGUAGGCCGUUACCCCGACCAACAAGCUGAUAGGCCGCGAGCCCAUCCCUGACCGAUAAAAACCUUUCCACCCGUCCACCAUGUAGGUGGCGGGUUCGUAUCCGGUAUUAGACGGCGUUUCCACCGCUUAUCCCGGAGUCAGGGGUCAGGUUGCUCACGUGUUACUCACCCGUUCGCCGCUCGUGUACCCCCGAAGGGCCUUACCGCUCGACUUGCAUGUGUUAACGCACGCCGCCAGCGUUCGUCUCGAGUCCGACGAGUCAAACCUCG